rnacentral:rRNA from 1 species
AUUGAACGCUGGCGGCAGGCCUAACACAUGCAAGUCGAGCGGCAGCGGGAAAGUAGCUUGCUACUUUUGCCGGCGAGCGGCGGACGGGUGAGUAAUGCCUGGGAAAUUGCCCAGUCGAGGGGGAUAACAGUUGGAAACGACUGCUAAUACCGCAUACGCCCUACGGGGGAAAGCAGGGGACCUUCGGGCCUUGCGCGAUUGGAUAUGCCCAGGUGGGAUUAGCUAGUUGGUGAGGUAAUGGCUCACCAAGGCGACGAUCCCUAGCUGGUCUGAGAGGAUGAUCAGCCACACUGGAACUGAGACACGGUCCAGACUCCUACGGGAGGCAGCAGUGGGGAAUAUUGCACAAUGGGGGAAACCCUGAUGCAGCCAUGCCGCGUGUGUGAAGAAGGCCUUCGGGUUGUAAAGCACUUUCAGCGAGGAGGAAAGGUUGAUGCCUAAUACGUAUCAACUGUGACGUUACUCGCAGAAGAAGCACCGGCUAACUCCGUGCCAGCAGCCGCGGUAAUACGGAAGGUGCAAGCGUUAAUCGGAAUUACUGGGCGUAAAGCGCACGCAGGCGGUUGGAUAAGUUAGAUGUGAAAGCCCCGGGCUCAACCUGGGAAUUGCAUUUAAAACUGUCCAGCUAGAGUCUUGUAGAGGGGGGUAGAAUUCCAGGUGUAGCGGUGAAAUGCGUAGAGAUCUGGAGGAAUACCGGUGGCGAAGGCGGCCCCCUGGACAAAGACUGACGCUCAGGUGCGAAAGCGUGGGGAGCAAACAGG